AUACCCGCAGCCCAAGUGGUGGUCGAUUUUAUUGAGUCUAAAACGUUCGUAGCCGGUUCAUUAAAUCCUUGGGUAAAUCGGAUGGCUUAACUAUCCGAAUUCCGGGGAGACUGGUGAACUUGGGACCGGGAGAGGCAAGAGGUACUUUUGGGGUAGGGGUAAAAUCCUGUAAUCCUAAAAGGACCACCGGUGGCGAAGGCGUCUUGCUAGAACGGAUCCGACGGUGAGGAACGAAGCCCUGGGUCGCAAACGGGAUUAGAUACCCCGGUAGUCCAGGGUGUAAACGCUGCAGACUUGGUGUUGGGGACCCUUCGGGGGUGUUCAGUGCCGGAGAGAAGUUGUUAAGUCUGCUACUUGGGGAGUACGUCCGCAAGGAUGAAACUUAAAUGAAUUGGCGGGG
rnacentral:rRNA from 1 species